rnacentral:rRNA from 1 species
UACAGAGGUCCCAAGCGUUGUUCGGAUUCACUGGGCGUAAAGGGUGCGUAGGUGGCGGGGCAAGUUUGAUGUGAAAUCUCCGAGCUCAACUCGGAAACGGCAUUAAAUACUGCUCUGCUUGAAGGUCGGAGGGGAGACUGGAAUUCUCGGUGUAGCGGUGAAAUGCGUAGAUAUCGAGAGGAACACCGGUGGCGAAAGCGAGUCUCUGGACGAUUCUUGACACUGAGGCACGAAAGCUAGGGGAG